AUCAUAAACAAAUAAAGUAUCCAUAUAAUCCUAAUAAUGUGGUUUAGGAGUUUCUACAGGAAGCCGUAAAUUUCCCGUCUAUGGAUGAAUUCCUUUAAAGC
rnacentral:ncRNA from 2 species